rnacentral:rRNA from 1 species
AUUGAACGCUGGCGGCAGGCUUAACACAUGCAAGUCGAGCGGGGAAGGGUAGCUUGCUACCUGACCUAGCGGCGGACGGGUGAGUAAUGCUUAGGAAUCUGCCUAUUAGUGGGGGACAACAUUCCGAAAGGAAUGCUAAUACCGCAUACGCCCUACGGGGGAAAGCAGGGGAUCUUCGGACCUUGCGCUAAUAGAUGAGCCUAAGUCAGAUUAGCUAGUUGGUGGGGUAAAGGCCUACCAAGGCGACGAUCUGUAGCGGGUCUGAGAGGAUGAUCCGCCACACUGGGACUGAGACACGGCCCAGACUCCUACGGGAGGCAGCAGUGGGGAAUAUUGGACAAUGGGCGAAAGCCUGAUCCAGCCAUGCCGCGUGUGUGAAGAAGGCCUUUUGGUUGUAAAGCACUUUAAGCGAGGAGGAGGCUACUUAGAUUAAUACUCUAGGAUAGUGGACGUUACUCGCAGAAUAAGCACCGGCUAAC